UGUUGAUAUUUGGGAACGCAAUAAGGAAUUGAUCCGCAAACGCACGGAUAUCGGUGAGCACUUCACCCGGGAAAUUAUCCAGAGUAUCGUAUUUAUUUUUUUACCACUAGGAGAAAGAGUGCAUCUGACUAACCGGUCUAUUACUACUAACCUUUAGGCACAAAGAAUGUCUUUCGAUGUGAGUGAUAAAUAGAGAAGACUGCAACCGUAGUCUCCUUCUAACCUUGGUAAGGAUGAUCUACUGUUCUAAUGGGGGGGCUAACGGAAUCUAGACACCACAAAGGAUGUUCAACCCGCACCUAUAAACCCUAUCCUUCCUGCUAACGAGAUGUGAUCUAUAAAGGUAGCUCGGAAUUGUCACGUUCCUCACUACUACCACAGUCCAGCUAGUCAGGGAAUAUCUAUGAGUACCCCAGCCUAAACACCACGUUUAUGCCAGCAAUGAUUACUCUAAACUCUACGCGAAGAGAUUAAAGUAAACUCAUAAACCAUAAGAACAAUAAAACAAGAACUUACUAGAAUUUAGAAGUCGAAAUACUGAAGAAUCCUAGGAGCAAGCUUCGCGUUAGGAGAACUUGAUCCCGCAGGUACAAGCUUGGAGUAGACACCGACAGGCCGGGCUUCCUCCACUCUACACCUCCACUCUAUCUCUCUCAAUCUAGUAGAAACUAGAAGAUCUAUUUCUACCUUACAUUGAUUGCUAAGCCUAAAAAGAAAUAUUAAUUAGAGAAGAGGUUUUCCUUCGAGGGCACCCCUCAGUCUCUAUGAUAAUUUCUUCAUGUCUUCUCCAGGGGCCAGGGGGCCUUGCUUAUAUAGUCCUCCCCUUCUAUGCGUUUUUGGGUCGAUAGGCGAGGUGGUACUAUGUUUUUCUUGAUCCAAUAGGUCGGUGGAAUAUCCCGAACGAAACAGUCCUGAUUUGGCUCCAGCAGGGGGGCGGGCGCCCAGGCUUCCAGGGCGGGCGCCCUGGGCCUGGCCCAGUUUUGCCUCCGCUUCGGUCUCGUGGCUUCUAGAGUCUUCUAGAUGAAGUAAAAUUGCGCGGUGCGUUGAUAUCUCUAUGUAAUCCCGACAUGUGGGCCUUUCUUCCUUAUUUCCUGAUAACCCCCUGCAGAAAUAGAUAAACCACAAAACUCGUAGAAUUCGAUCAGAUCAAACCCUAAUUCUAGGUGAUGGUUGCAUAUUGGUCCAUUCUCUUGUUUAUUUGAUAAUUAAAAUUGAUACUUAAGAACCGUCAACAAAUACCCCCAUACUUAGGCUUUUACUCGUCCUCGAGAAAAGGAUGGUUAAGAACAAUAUCUGGGGUAAACAUUUAAAACAUUCUCUUUAUAUAAUUGCAGGGUGUUAAAAUUCCACUGUGUACCAUAGUCAGGGAAGUUUAUGAUUAAGAGUAAAGAUCCUUUCUUCUCGAUCCUGUCACUUGGAGUUUUUGUAUAUUUUUGAAAGAAAGUUAGCAUACCUUUUUAUCCUCAUAGGUUCUCUCAGAUCACUCAUUAUCUUUUAUAUAUAUCUCACUGAGGCUGUUUUAUUUUGCAAAAAUUCUCAAGCAUACUUACUUUGCAUUUAUUGCCUGAUCAAAACGGGAUCCGAGGAGGGGAAUGUCAUACUCUUAGAUCAAAGACAUUGAAAAUUAAAAACUUUGUCAACUCUUGCUGGCAUAUUGCUUAUUAGAGGGACCAUGGGCUAUCAUCUUUUUUUUUUAAAGUGGAUACCGAGGUACCCCUAAUUCUACUGCCGGACACUUGUCCAUUUUUUCUGCGAGGUUGUCGAGCACUUGCUCCUUUUUAUUUCCUCGAAAUAUUUUUUUAUUUUUGCAUAGCCCAUGCCUCUAAUGCAAUAAUACUUCGGAAGAGUGAAUCUUACUGAAAUAGUGUCUUGAUCUUGGGAGCAUGAUAAAUCUCUCAACAAGGGUCUAACUCAUUUUGAACAAACUCAAUACAGAGUAGAUAGCUUUAUAAUCAUCAUUAAUAUUUUUAUUUUUAUCAGGCAUAUAAAACUCUGAGGAUGGUAGCUAGAAUUUUGAAUAUUUUGAAAUAAAUUCUCCAAGCAACAAUGAUAUCAAGAAUAAGAAACUCAUACUCUACCAUCACAUAUUCCAUAUUGACUUAAGUAACACAGGGUUUUAAAAAUGAUUUUAUAAUAAUUGCAAAUUUUCAGGAAAUAUCACAGAUUGAGAUUAAUCAUGAUUAGAAAUAUUUUAAUCUUUUUAUUUUAUCAUGUCGGAAACAGUAAUCUGCAUAAUCCAAAAUAAAUGUAUGUAUGAAGUAAAGUGUGCAGAGUGUGUACCUGAGUGGUGGAGUGGUGCAGUCGGAGUGUGUUUAGCAUGUCGAGGGAUCUCCCCCAUACUUGUUUUCUGCUUUCUUGCACAAAAAUAAAGUAGAGACACACAAGACAUAAUAAUAAUAGUAAUACCCUUUAUUGAUCUUGAGGCAUUUAGUACAAAAGACUGAUAACAAACUGAUAGCAAACUGAUAAUAAAAGUAAACUGAUGAUAAUUGCAAACCUAAACCGAAUUUAAACAUAGAUGACUAAGAUGCAUUGCCUCAAGGUCUAAUCUAGAUAACUUAACGGCGCUCUAAUUCCUUGAUCUUCUUGUUGGCACUGGCAAGAUCCUGCCUACGGCCUAGUAUAAUGGUGUUGUGGUUAGAGAGCUGCCUAGUGAGGGAAUUAAUUGAGGACUGGAGGUCUAUGAUAAUUCUAUCUAGCCUGCGAACUUCCUCAUCAAUAUCCAUUAUAGUCUUGCGACGCUUGGGAGGUGUCUCAAAAGCAUUGAGAGAAUGCUUCGGGGCUGCCUUUGGAGGGAUGAAACGGACUUUGGCUGCUCUAAUCCCUUCAAAGUAAGGCCUUUCCUCCUCUGAAGUGUAGCGUACGCUGCUGAUCUCGCCGCUCCACUUGGUCUUGACUCCAACGACCCUCUCAUUGGGUCUAGGUGGAAGGAUCCUUGUGCCGAUUGGCACCUUGAUAGUGGUCUUCGUCUUGGAUGAUGGUCCUUUGAGGAGUAGGGGUUGUGGUGGUGCGGUGAGAACUAGUUGAGCAUGGUAAGAUUGGGCGGAGCUGCGUUGACGUAAUGGCAUGGCUUCUAGGUGACGCUCUGUGUUGGCCGGGACGAGAGCACGGGCAUCGGGGUCUUCCACUGGCUCCAUGUUGAGGUUGAAGGGGACGACUUCCCAAUCAUCGUGGUACUUGUCGGCCAUUGGAGUAGCAAGGAACUAAUAAAAUUUUAAUUGAAGUAGAGCUAAUUAAGCUCUAAUUAAAGGAGAGCUAAUCAAGCUCUAGUUGAAGGAGAGAAAGCUUGGUGGCUUGGUGUUUGAAAACUGAGGUCAGGGGUCUGUUUAUAUAGGUGUCAAAAGGAUGCCUCUAUGGGUUGUUCGGGUUGCUCCCGUCGAUGUGCGAAACUUUCCAUCCGAGGGAUUAUUCGGAUCACCCUAAGUGCAUUUUCCAUAACAGAGAAAGUCGGGACCGAGGGGGAACAGGGGCUGGGCGCCCGCCCUCUCUCUGGCUCCUCUGUGGGCCCACUUCUCCGAGCGCGUUUCUAGAUGCGAAAUUAUUUAGAAAAAUAUAUAUAUGACCCAAAACCAUCAGACCAAAAGUGUCGGGCUCUAAUUCUCCAUGGGAAGGUAAAAAUGGACUACGUCUAUUUCUUCAAAUUCCUCAUUGGGCUCUAAAAAUAAUUUAAGACGUUGACCAUUUACCUUGAAUAACGUACCUUCGCUAUUUUGAAGUGUGCUCCUCCAUCACUUAUCACUACUCUGGGGACUCCAAAUCUUGGAAAUAUAAUUUCUUCAAACAUCCUCUUUGAACUGACGUUGUCGGCAUGCUUGCAAGGUAAUGCUUCUACCCACUUGGAGACAUAGUCAACCGCCACCAAGAUGUACUCACACUUCUUUGAUGGAGGAAAUGGACCCAUGUAGUCUAUUCCCCAGACAUCAAAGAGCUCAAUCUGAAGGUUGUUGGUGAGUGGCAUUGCAUCCCUUGUAUUUAUGUUUCCGUGCCUUUGACAUGGCCCACAUCUUCUGAUAUAUUGCUUCGUGUCUUCAUACAUUGUAGGCCAAUAGAAUCCACACUGCCAGAUCUUUGAAUGUGUACGGAAUGCUCCAUAGUGACCUCCAUAUGGUGAUGAAUGACAUCUGUCGAUGAUCUUCCAUCCUUCCUCAGUGGUCACACAUCUCCUGAGUAAGCCAUCAGAGCAUACUCGGAAGAGGUAUGGCUCGUCCCAUAUAUGUGAACGACUUUCUUGAAUAAGCUUCUUCUUGUUUGCUCCUGGUGGUACAUACGCUGAAACCAUAAAAUUAACAAUAUCUGCAUACCAGGGGUCAGACCUGUUAAUCCCGUAGAGCAUGUCGUCCCGGAGUGAAUCAUUGAUGGGGGUUUCCUGUGGACUCUUAAAAUACAUUCUAGACAAGUGAUCAGCAAUAGAAUUUUCUACUCCUUUUUUAUCUUUUAUUUCUAAGUCAAAUUCUUGGAGUAAUAAGAUCCAUCUAAUCAGGCGAGGUUUAGCAUCUUUUUUAGUGAGCAAAUAUUUUAAUGCAGCAUGAUCAGUGUAAACAAUUAUUUUAGCUCCAACUAAAUAAGAUCUAAAUUUAUCAAUGGCAAAGACAACAGCCAGGAGCUCUUUUUCAGUGGUUGCAUAGUUAAGUUGAGCUCCUGUCAAAGUUUUACUGGCAUAAGCAAUUGCAUGAUGCUUCUUAUCUUUAGUUUGUCCCAAUACUGCCCCCACAGCAUAAUCACUAGCAUCACACAUAAUUUCAAAAGGUAACGACCAAUCAGGGGGUUGAAUGAUUGGUGCAGAGAUGAGUGCUUUCUUUAAUAAAUUGAAAGAUGUUAAACAUGCAUCAUCAAAUUCGAAAGGAGCAUCCUUGGCUAGCAAAAGAGUAAGUGGUCUAGCAAUAAAUGAAAAAUCUUUUAUGAAUCUACGAUAAAAACCAGCAUGGCCAAGAAAGCUUCGAAUUCCUUUUAUAUUCACAGGUGGAGGUAGUUGUUCAAUUACUUCAAAUUUAGCUUUGUCUACCUCAAUCCCCCUUUCAGACACUAAGUGUCCUAGCACUAUUCCUUCCCUAACCAUAAAAUGACAUUUUUCCCAAUUAAGGAUUAAGUGCUUUUCUUCACAUCUUUGCAAAACCUUGUCUAUGUUUUCAAGACAACUAUCAAAGGUUUUUCCAUAAAUAGAGAAAUCAUCCAUGAAAACUUCCAUAAUCUCUUCAAUCAUAUCAGAAAAUAUAGACAUCAUGCAUCUUUGAAAAGAAGCUGGUGCGUUACAUAACCCAAAAGACAUUCUACGGUAAGCAUAAGUUCCAUAAGGGCAUGUAAAAGUGGUUUUGCUUUGAUCAUCAGGAUGGAUCGGGAUUUGAUGAUACCCUGAAUAUCCAUCUAAGAAACAGAAGAAUGAAUGGUUUGCUAACCGCUCUAGCAUCUCAUCUAUAAAAGGUAAAGGAAAGUGAUCUUUUCUCGUGGCUUUGUUUAGUUUUCUAUAGUCUAUGCACAUCCGCCAUCCUGUGACGGUGCGUUGCGGAAUUAGCUCGUUCUUUUCAUUCAUAAUAACUGUCAUGCCUCCCUUUUUGGGCACAACUUGGACUGGGCUCACCCACUCACUGUGCGGCACAGGAUAUAUAAUCCCUGCAUGCAGCAACUUUAUAACUUCCUUUUUAACUACCUCUCUCAUAGUGUUGUUAAGUCUACGUUGGGGUUCUCGAGAGGGUGUAACAGAAGGAUCUGUUGGAAUACGAUGGGUACAAAUCAUAGGACUGAUUCCUGUAAGAUCUUGAAGUGAGUAGCCGAAUACUGAGUGAUGUUUCUCAAGAAUGGUCAUUAAUCACAGAGUUUGAUCCUGAGUGAGUUUAUCGCUAAUGAUCACAGGGAACUCUAGAUUAUUGUUUAGGAAAGCAUAGGUAAGACCGGGUGGUAAAGUUUUAAGUUCUAUGGGGGUUCUAGGUGUUUCUGCAAACUCGUCUAAGGGUUCAGGCUCAGAAGGUUCGUCUUCUUCUUCUGUGAAGAAAGGAGUUUCGUCUUCUAAGUCUGAUUCAUCUAAAAGCUCUAGAGAUGCAGCCUUUACUUCCUCCAUAGGAUCAGGCAAAAGAUAUGACUCGGCCUUAUUAUUUAAGGAGUGUGAAAUUAUUAUUGGGAAUUGAAAAGUUUUUCCAAAAGAAAUGUGUAGCUUUCCAGUAUGACCUUCAUAAAGGAGUCUUCUUAAAGGUUGUCCUAUUAACAGGUCGAAGUCCCAUGUAUCAAAGAUAUAGAAGUUCAAAUGAACCAUGGAGCCUUCUACCGUAAGAGGUAGGACAUUAAUAAUUCCAAGACUGGGGAUUAAUCGUCCCGAAGAUUCCUUUAUGAUCUUUGUUGUGGGGGUUAAGACAAGAUUUUUAAAUAGUUUAAGUGCAAAAGAUUCAGACAUGAUGUUGAUCCCCACAACAGGAUUAUAAAGAGCAUUAAAUCGAUCAGAAUUAUAAGCACAACGUAUAGUUAUAGAGGGUGUGUCCAAACGGAUCACAUCAGAGGAAAGCUCUGAUUCCUCCAACCAUUCGCUACUCAUUACUGAGAUAAGCUCUCUCAAUUGAUAUUCACUUGGUAAAUAAAUGCUAAACUGGCCGUUUUGGGGUUUGUCAAUAGAAUGGUAGUUUGAAAUAUUUCCAAAAUCGGCAAAAAGAUCGGAUUCUAUAUCCAGCAUGAAGUCCGGUAGUGGAAUUUCUUCCUCUUGUGGCUCAAAACUUGGGAUAGCUAAAGUAGAUGAAGAAUUUGGCAGAGUGUCUACUUCGGCUUCGUAGGUUUCAUCAUGAAGGGUAUUAUCCAUCUCAGCUUCUAGGAUUCUAUCUAGGAUCACUCUAGCUUCAUCAGCAGGGAUGCGAAAGAAAGAACCUCUAGACAUUAUGUGUAGCAUUUGUUUGUGAUUUUUAUGAAGACCUCGAAAAUAGUGAAAUAAAAGAACAGGGUCUUCAAGAUUAAGGUUUGGACCAGAUUCUAAAAGAUCAGAAAAACGUUUCCAGGAUUUUCCCAAAGUUUCAUUAUCUUUUUGUUUAAAAGAUAGGACUUCGAGUCUAAGGUCGGCUAUACGGUCAAGGGAAUAGAAAUCUAGACAAAAGUUGGCUCGUAAGACUCCCCAUUCACCUUGUUGUUGACUUACCUUCUGACUGUACCAUUGUCUAGCUUCUCCCCUUAGAGAAAAAGGAAAAAGCUUCCAACGUAAAGUCUUAUCAGAAAUGCCUUCAAUGCGAAGACAAUCACAUGUUUGCUCAAAAUCUCUAAUAUGAAGGUAAGGGUUUUCGUCUUCCUUUCCCGAAAAAGAUAGGUUUUGAAUCAUGGCAAUCAACCUAUAACUUAACUUAUACUGGGAUGUUUGGAUAGGUUGUGAUGAUUCCCAUGGUAAAAGGUCAGUUGCUAAAGGGAUUGCAGACUCAUGGAUCGAUUUAGAGUUUUGGUUUUCCAUAGGGUAAGAGUAAAGAAAAUAAAUAAAGGAUAUAAAAGAUAAGAAAAGAUAAAAGUAUAGAUACAAGCUAAUAGCAAGACACAGGUUAUCUCAGCAACCGUCUCUCUCCCCGGCAACGGCGCCAGAAAUGCUUGUUGAUAUUUGGGAACGCAAUAAGGAAUUGAUCCGCAAGCGCACGGAUAUCGGUGAGCACUUCACCCGGGAAAUUAUCCAGAGUAUCAUAUUUAUUUUUUUACCACUAGGAGAAAGAGUGCAUCUGACUAACCGGUCUAUUACUACUAACCUUUAGGCACAAAGAAUGUCUUUCGAUGUGAGUGAUAAAUAGAGAAGACUGCAACCGUAGUCUCCUUCUAACCUUGGUAAGGAUGAUCUACUGUUCUAAUGGGGAGGCUAACGGAAUCUAGACACCACAAAGGAUGUUCAACCCGCACCUAUAAACCCUAUCCUUCCUGCUAACGAGAUGUGAUCUACAAAGGUAGCUCGGAAUUG
rnacentral:lncRNA from 1 species